AGGAGGAACAGCCCCAGUGGCGGGGCAGCUCUGGAAACCUGGAUUCAGCUCCGGCAGGAACUCCGGAGCUCUCGGUCUGCAGGGCCUGGAGGCUCCGGGCGGGG
rnacentral:pre_miRNA from 1 species